rnacentral:lncRNA from 12 species
AUGCCCUCCUCCAAAAAGUCAGCAGCUUGUAAAUUGGGAAUUUGCAGUGUGUCUGUGAUGACUUCAGUUUUGGGAGAUUUCUGGGUAGCUGCUCAUGGCUGGUGUCCUGGUAAAUUUUGGUCUCUGCAGGACUUGACCUUUAAAUGUACAGGCUUGCCAAACUACAACAGAAGAAGUGCUGGAGAAAGGAGCAGAAAGAAACCCCUAAGGCCACUGCGGCCUUGCCUCGGCCUGGCCUGGCAUCCCGGGAAGGAAUGCGGGCACCACGCUUCCCGGCGGGAUUUAACCAGCACGAGUUUACAUCUCACCGGGGCACCCUGCAGCAGCAUCGCUCCUCCCGGGGCUCUGGAAAAGGGACCGUAUGGACUCCAUGGCGGGCUCCACGCAGGAGGGCCUCUCCAAGGAGCGUGGAGCCUUUCCCAAAAGGCAGAACGGGAGCAGGAGAGGAGGGCCGGACGCCGCCACAGUGAGCGCCGCUCGGCACAGGGGUGAGCCCUGAGCUUCAUCCAGAGACCAGCGCCAUACAAAGCGCCUCUUCCGAAGCUCAGUCUCCCUGGUAAGCACCGACGAGGCUCUCUCACCCGGCUGGCCUCCCCUCGUGUUUCCUGCACGCGUUAAUCCCGGCCCCGGGCGCUGCUUCCCUCCCGGGGCCGCUCCGCCCUCUCCCGGGGCUGAGGGCCGCUCCCCUCAGCCCUCGGAGCUCCGCGCUCGCCUGGGGCUCGGCGGCGGCGCCCCGGGAAUGCGGGGGCGCUUCUGUGGGGCUCCAUCCCUGCUGGGCACCAACAGGGCUGACCUGGCACAGGGACCCAUCGUCCUACCCCGGCUCCAGCAGCGUCAGCCCGGGAGUGCGUCCGGAUGGUUCUGGAAUGUCCCCGGUGAGGGAGACUCCAGACGCUCUCUGUGCGGUCUGAUUAUGGGGGAGUCAGUGAGUCAGGGGUCUCUCUGAAAGCCUUUGGAUGGAUUGAAGUAUACUAAGCCAUUCACACAUAAAGAAGACAUUUAAGUAGAAGAAAGUAAUUUUAGGGUGAGUUCUAAUGCUUUUAGUAAGUGAAAGGUUUCAAAUGCCAGAGUAGCAGAGCGAGUUCUAGUGAAGGUUGAAACAUACUGAUAUCUUCAGCAAGAAGACACAGCUGUAGACAGGACUUAGACAUAAUAGAGCUAUAGUAAGGAUAUUGCUUACAUUCCUUAGAUAGAACAAGAUAGAUUGUAUGUGUAGUUCUAUACGUAACUUGGUGUGCUAAGAAACUAUAAUUCCAAUAGGUUAAGGAGUGGUGGUCUGAGUUUGCAUCUUAGCUUGUUGGAAAAAUCCUGUAUAACAGUAUGUAUUGGGAGAGUUGGUGCUUUUAGCCAUUCUGGCUUCUAGCCAUUCGCUUAUUGCUACUGCUUUUGCUAGCUGCUUUG